rnacentral:tRNA from 1 species
GGGCAGGUGGCGGAGCGGCAAACGCGGUAGAUUGCAAAUCUACAGACAAUUGUCUUCAUGGGUUCGAGUCCCAUCCUGCCCU